UUUAUACGACUGCAAAAAAUUUUUGCGUUCGUAUAUUGGUAUGAAGUUGGCGUCGUAGUCCGUCGUCGUUCGAAGACACAUUGGUUUUCGCACAAUAACUUUAGUUUAAGUGAAUGGAUCUCUAUGAAAUUUUACCAUAAGGUUCAAUAUCACAAAAGGAAGGUUGGGAUUGAUUUUGGGGGUUAUGGUACCAACAGUUAAGGAAUAAGGGGCCAAAAAUAAGCAUUUUUGUAACUUCCAGACAAUAACUUGUGUGUUAGUGUAUGGAUCUCUCUGACAUUGUACCACAAGGUUUCAUAUCACAAAGGGAAUGCUGGGAUUGAUUUUGGGGGUAAUUGUCUCAAAAUUUUAGGAAUUAGGGGCAGAAAAAGGGGCAAAAAACAAGCAUUUUUCAUGACAAUAACUUGUGUGUAAGUGUAUGGAUCUUUCUGAAAUUGUACUACAAGGUUCCAUAUCACAAAGGAAAAGCUCGAAUUGAGUUUGGGGGUAGUUGCCCAAAACGUUUAGGAAUAAGGGCCAAAAAUAAGCAUUUUUCUAGUUUCCAGAGAAUAAAUUGUGUUCAAGUGUAUGGAUCUCUCUGAAAUUGUACUGCAAGGUACCAUAUCACAAAGGAAAGGCUUGGAUUGAUUUUGGGGGUAAUUGCCUCAAAAUUUUAGGAAUUAGGGGCCAAAUAGGGGCAAAAAACAAGCAUUUUUCUAGUUUCCGGACAAUAACUUGUGUGUAAGUGUAUGGAUCUUUAUGAAAUUGUACUACAAGGUUCCAUAUCACAAAGGGAAAGCUGGAAUUGAGUUUGGGGGUAAUUGCCCAAAAUGUUUAGGAAUAAGGGGCCAAAAAUAACCAUUUUUCUAGUUUCCAGAGAAUAACUUGUGUUCAAGUGUAUGGAUCUCUCUGAAAAAGUACAAUUUCAUAAAGAUCCAUACACUUACACACAAGUACCAUACCACAAAGGGAAGGCUGGGAUUGAGUUUGGGGGGUGAUGAAUCAUAAGGGGGUUCAAAAAAUUUGGGGGGGGAUUUUUUUCCCCUUUUUUUUCUUUAAAAUUUUCCAUUUUAAAUUGGUUAUUUCUGAUUUAUAUAUAAAAGCAAAUAAUGAUAUGGUUUGAAUAGGUAAAUUAAAAAAUUAUAAGUUCUUAGACCACAUUCAUUCUGUGUCAAAUAUUUAAUCACAAUCCAAAUUCAGUGCUGUAUCAAGCUUGAAUGUUGUGUCCAUACUUGCCCCAACUGAUCAGGGUUCGACCUCUGCGGUCGUAUCAAGCUGCGCCCAGCGGAGCAUUUUAUUAUCACUUGCAACACACAUAUUGAAACCCAAUAAUUGGAUUGGGACUUUAUGAAAGUAUGUUUUCUACAGAAAUCUGACUGUUGGGUUCGUUGUUCAAAUUGUUGUACAUUUUUUCAUGUCAAGGCUUUUAAGGAUGUUCGCUUGUCAUGUUUUGAAUUUUUGUUAGAUUUUCAGAAUCCUCUGGUUUUAUCCAUUUGAAAGCCUUAACAAAUUUUGCCCACUAACCCCCAUUUUUCUUUUAUAAAUCUUUUACAUGUAUAAUUAUAAGCCAUCUGUAAAAGUCUUAUAAAAUCUUCGUUAUUUUUUAAUAGUUUUUGAGAACUUAAACUUGUCAAUGAUAAAGCUAUGAAUGAUCAAGAGAGAACAUUUUCCCGUCAAAAUUUCAAUGGCUAAUAUCUCGAAAACAAUCACACACGGACCAAUAUUUUUUUUUUGCUCUUUUGGUUCCUUUAUUAAUCCCCUAUCAAUAUAUACUUGUGUUAUGAAAAGCUUGUUAUUUUGAAACUGAGUAGCGAUCUUCCUUAAUAUAUGAAAUAAACUGAAUAAAAUUUGAUACAGACAAA